AGCGAACGCUGGCGGCAGGCUUAACACAUGCAAGUCGAGCGGGCAUCCUUGUGGUGUCAGCGGCAGACGGGUGAGUAACGCGUGGGAACGUGCCCUUCGGUUCGGAAUAACUCAGGGAAACUUGAGCUAAUACCGGAUACGUGCGAGAGCAGAAAGGUUUAUCUGCCGAAGGAUCGGCCCGCGUCUGAUUAGCUAGUUGGUGAGGUUGCGGCUCACCAAGGCGACGAUCAGUAGCUGGUCUGAGAGGAUGAUCAGCCACACUGGGACUGAGACACGGCCCAGACUCCUACGGGAGGCAGCAGUGGGGAAUAUUGGACAAUGGGGGCAACCCUGAUCCAGCCAUGCCGCGUGAGUGAUGACGGCCUUAGGGUUGUAAAGCUCUUUUCUCCGGGACGAUAAUGACGGUACCGGAGGAAUAAGCCCCGGCUAACUUCGUG
rnacentral:rRNA from 1 species